AGUGUCGAUCCGACUGUCGUGAGCGUCGGCCGUGUGUAAAUUUAGUGCUAAGUUUACAAAGAUUUCAUCGUGUUUAGUGCUGUGUGUGACAUGUUGGGAGGGACGGGUGCAACGUGCUAGGACAUGUCGCGAAGGAAACAGAGCAAUCCGAAGCCUUUGAAACGUAAGUAGGUUAUCAGCGCCACGUUGUAAGCAGUUCAGGCUGAAUUCUUUGGUUCGU
rnacentral:misc_RNA from 1 species